AUUGAACGCUGGCGGCAGGCCUAACACACGCAAGUCGAGCGGCAGCGGGAAAGUAGCUUGCUACUUUUGCCGGCGAGCGGCGGACGGGUGAGUAAUGCCUGGGGAUCUGCCCAGUCGAGGGGGAUAACUACUGGAAACGGUAGCUAAUACCGCAUACGCCCUACGGGGGAAAGCAGGGGACCUUCGGGCCUUGCGCGAUUGGAUGAACCCAGGUGGGAUUAGCUAGUUGGUGAGGUAAUGGCUCACCAAGGCGACGAUCCCUAGCUGGUCUGAGAGGAUGAUCAGCCGCACUGGAACUGAGACACGGUCCAGACUCCUACGGGAGGCAGCAGUGGGGAAUAUUGCACAAUGGGGGAAACCCUGAUGCAGCCAUGCCGCGUGUGUGAAGAAGGCCUUCGGGUUGUAAAGCACUUUCAGCGAGGAGGAAAGGUUGGUAGCUAAUAACUGCCAGCUGUGACGUUACUCGCAGAAGAAGCACCGGCUAACUUCGUGCCAGCAGCCGCAGUAACAC
rnacentral:rRNA from 1 species